rnacentral:rRNA from 1 species
AGACCGUUCAAGCUAUUCCGNAAGUCGACGGUAACAGGUCCAGCUUGCUGGAUGCUGACGAGCGGCGGACGGGUGAGUAAUGCAUAGGAAAUCUNCCCAGUCGUGGGGGAUAACCUGGGGAAAACCCAGGCUAAUACCGCAUACGUCCUACGGGAGAAAGCGGGGGCUCUUCGGACCUCGCGCGAUUGGAUGAGCCUAUGUCGGAUUAGCUGGUUGGUGGGGUAACGGCUCACCAAGGCGACGAUCCGNAGCUGGUCUGAGAGGAUGAUCAGCCACACUGGGACUGAGACACGGCCCAGACUCCUACGGGAGGCAGCAGUGGGGGGAAUAUUGGACAAUGGGCGGAAAGCCUGAUCCACCAUCCNNCGUGUGUGAAGAAGCNUUUC